rnacentral:rRNA from 1 species
UACGGAGGAUCCAAGCGUUAUCCGGAUUUAUUGGGUUUAAAGGGUGCGUAGGCGGGGAAUUAAGUCAGUGGUGAAAGUUUGCAGCUCAACUGUAAAAUUGCCAUUGAAACUGAUUUUCUUGAGUGUAAAUGAGGUAGGCGGAAUGUGUUGUGUAGCGGUGAAAUGCUUAGAUAUAACACAGAACACCCGAUUGCGAAGGCAGCUUACUGGGAUACAACUGACGCUGAUGCACGAAAGCGUGGGGAUCGAAACAGG